UGCGGUUCCAUAAGUGGUUACUUGAACGCUUCAAUCACGUAAAACGCUUGCAUCUGUAUUUACAACGUAAACAAUGGCAUCCGAUGAUUACAAUACCUGGUCUGUUCCAGAACUAACGUUACGUGGAGCUGUCACAAGAGACAGACAUAUAGAUCUUAUAGAAAGAAUCAAUUAGAAGAGCCAAAAUUUAUAAGCUUAGAUUCAAAACAUUCUGGAGGAGCAGAUUGUGUGAAGAAUCCAGCAGAAGUCAAGAGAAAUAAAAAAA